GUCCACGCCGUAAACGAUGGGCACUAGGUCCUUGGGGGAGCGACCCCGUGAGGGCCGGCGCUAACGCAUUAAGUGCCCCGCCUGGGGAGUACGGCCGCAAGGCUGAAACUCAAAGGAAUUGACGGGGGCCCCGCACAAGCGGUGGAGCAUGUGGUUUAAUUCGACGCAACGCGAAGAACCUUACCUAGGCUUGACAUGGCCGGGAAAGCGCGGGGAAACCUGCGCCCCUCUUCGGAGUCCGGUCACAGGUGCUGCAUGGCUGUCGU
rnacentral:rRNA from 1 species